GACGAACCGUGCGACCGUUGUUCGGAAUCACUGGGCUUAAAGGGCGCGUAGGCGGUUUGCCAAGUCAGGGGUGAAAUCCUGCAGCUCAACUGUAGAAGUGCCUUUGAUACUGGCGAACUCGAGGGAGGUAGGGGUGGGUGGAACUUCUGGUGGAGCGGUGAAAUGCGUUGAUAUCAGAAGGAACGCCGGUGGCGAAAGCGACCCACUGGAUCUCUACUGACGCUGAGGCGCGAAAGCUAGGGGAGCAAACGGG
rnacentral:rRNA from 1 species